UACGGAGGGGGCUAGCGUUGUUCGGAAUCACUGGGCGUAAAGCGCACGUAGGCCGGCUGUUAAGUCGGGGGUGAAAGCCUGGAGCUCAACUCCAGAACUGCCUCCGAUACUGGCAGCCUUGAGUCCGAGAGAGGUGAGUGGAAUUCCCAGUGUAGAGGUGAAAUUCGUAGAUAUUGGGAAGAACACCAGUGGCGAAGGCGGCUCACUGGCUCGGUACUGACGCUGAGGUGCGAAAGCGUGGGGAGCAAACAGGAUUAGAUACCCCCGUAGUCC
rnacentral:rRNA from 1 species